rnacentral:rRNA from 1 species
GACGGAGGGUGCUAGCGUUGUUCGGAUUUACUGGGCGUAAAGGGCGCGUAGGCGGCUUUGUAAGUCGGGUGUGAAAGCCCGGGGCUCAACCCCGGAACGGCACUCGAGACUGUGAGGCUUGAGAUCGGAAGAGGAGAGUGGAAUACCCAGUGUAGAGGUGAAAUUCGUAGAUAUUGGGUGGAACACCGGUGGCGAAAGCGGCUCUCUGGUCCGUAUCUGACGCUGAGGCGCGAAAGCGUGGGGAGCAAACAGG